rnacentral:rRNA from 1 species
CACGUAGGGUGCGAGCGUUGUCCGGAAUUAUUGGGCGUAAAGAGCUCGUAGGCGGUCUGUCGCGUCGGUCGUGAAAACUUGGGGCUUAACCCUGAGCUUGCGGUCGAUACGGGCAUGACUGGAGUUCGGCAGGGGAGACUGGAAUUCCUGGUGUAGCGGUGAAAUGCGCAGAUAUCAGGAGGAACACCGGUGGCGAAGGCGGGUCUCUGGGCCGAUACUGACGCUGAGGAGCGAAAGCGUGGGGAGCGAACAGG